GCUAAGGAGCAGACCCAAAAGUUCCAGGACACGGUGUCCAGUCUGAAGAGCCAGCAUGGCUGUGUUAGUCAGCAGCUCCAUCCUGCCCCACCAGCUCCAUCCUGCACAACCAGCUCCAUCCUGCCCCAGCAGCUCCAUCCUGCCCCACCAGCUCCAUCCUGCCCCAGCAGCUCCAUCCUGCCCCACCAGCCCCAUCCUGCUCCAGCAGCUCCAUCCUGCCCCACCAGCUCCAUCCUGCCCCAGCAGCUCCAUCCUGCCCCACCAGCCCCAUCCUGCCCCACCAGCCCCAUCCUGCUCCAGCAGCCCUAUCCUGCUCCACCAGCUCCAACCUGCCCCACCAGCUCCAUCCUGCCCCACCAGCUCCAUCCUGCUCCAACAGCUCCAUCCUGCCCCAGCAGCUCCAUCCUGCCCCAGCAGCUCCAUCCUGCCCCACCAGCUCCAUCCUGCUCCACCAGCUCCAUCCUGCCCCAGCAGCUUCAUCCUGCCCCAGCAGCUCCAUCCUGCCCCACCAGCUCCAUCCUGCUCCAGCAGCUCCAUCCUGCCCCACCAGCUCCAUCCUGCCCCAGCAGCUCCAUCCUGCCCCACCAGCUCCAUCCUGCCCCACCAGCUCCAUCCUGCCCCAGCAGCUUCAUCCUGCUCCAGCAGCUCCAUCCUGCCCCACCAGCUCCAUCCUGCUCCAGCAGCUCAAUCCUGCUCCAGCAGCUCCAUCCUGCCCCACCAGCUCCAUCCUGCUCCAGCAGCUCCAUCCUGCCCCACCAGCUCCAUCCUGCUCCAGCAGCUCCAUCCUGCCCCACCAGCUCCAUCCUGCUCCAGCAGCUCCAUCCUGCCCCACCAGCUCCAUCCUGCCCCAGCAGCUCCAUCCUGCCCCACCAGCUCCAUCCUGCUCCAGCAGCUCCAUCCUGCCCCAGCAGCUCCAUCCUGCUCCAGCAGCUCCAUCCUGCUCCAGCAGCUCCAGGUGUAA
rnacentral:lncRNA from 1 species